rnacentral:rRNA from 1 species
GACGAACGCUGGCGGCGUGCUUAACACAUGCAAGUCGAACGGACAGGCCCUGCUUUUGUGGGGUGCUCGAGUGGCGAACGGGUGAGUAACACGUGAGUAACCUGCCCUUGACUUUGGGAUAACUUCAGGAAACUGGGGCUAAUACCGCAUAGGAGCUCCUGCUGCAUGGUGGGGGUUGGAAAGUUUCGGCGGUUGGGGAUGGACUCGCGGCUUAUCAGCUUGUUGGUGGGGUAGUGGCUUACCAAGGCUUUGACGGAUAGCCGGCCUGAGAGGGUGACCGGCCACAUUGGGACUGAGAUACGGACCAGACGCCUACGGGACGCAGCAGUGGGGAAUAUUGCACAAUGGGCGGAAGCCUGAUGCAGCAACGCCGCGUGCGGGAUGACGGCUUUCGGGUUGUAAACCGCUUUCGCCGUUGACGAAGCGUGAGUGACGGUAAUGGGUAAAGAAGCACCGGCUAACUACGUG